rnacentral:rRNA from 1 species
UAACUGUAAACGAUGCGGACUUGGUGUUGGGGUGGCUUUGAGCUGCUUCAGUGCCGAAGGGAAGCUGUUAAGUCUGCUACUUGGGGAGUACGUCCGCAAGGAUGAAACUUAAAGGAAUUGGCGGGGGAGCACCGCAACGGGAGGAGCGUGCGGUUUAAUUGGAUUCAACGCCGAAAAACUCACCAGCAGCGACUGUUACAUGAAAGUCAGGUUGAUGACCUUACUAGAUUUUCAGAGAGGGAGGUGCAUGGCGUCAGUGACU